rnacentral:misc_RNA from 1 species
UUGUUGGAUUUAGUUUUAAAAGAACUUAUCCAGCAUGUGCAAUUUGCCGAUUUGUGCACAAAACAUAUUGAACCAACCAAUAUCUAGCCAACUUGGUAUUGGGCGCAAAGCAAGUGGAUUUCUUCUCAACAACCUCAUAUUUCAGUUUACAUGUUCAUGUAGGGUUAACUAUGUAAAGCUGCCCAAUUAAUGACUUGAUCAAAAGUUACUGGUGCUUUCUAUCGUUGAAGCCGGGAUAGAAAAUUUCAAAAUUCAAAAAACUUGUGACACAGAGAGUUUUUGGAAGAGAGAGAGAGAGAG